UCCCAUAUAGGCUAUUACAGAGUAUUGAGUAGAGCUUCCUGAGCUGCAGAGUAGGUUCUCAUUAGUCAUCUAUUUCCUGACUCUCUUUUAAAACAAAGCACUGACCUUAGUACAACCUGUGUGAAUGAGGGUGGAUGCUUCCUUGAGCAGGCUUUAACAAGGAGAAUCAGGAUACGUGAAACUAAGCGACUCAGCCUUCCUGACAAUUCUAAGAGCAUCUGUCUACAGGGAAUAACACAGUGCUGAUUCCUCCAGAGACAGGACAGUCACCUCAUCCUGGAGGAACUUCAGGAUCUUCCGAAUUUCCCGCCUUGGAUCCUGCAUGUGGAACAGUCACAAAAAGUCAGCAAAUUGAAGCUGAGUAAUCAGAAUUGAGGAAGCUCCAGCUGGAUGGGGACCUGCUGAAAUGCUUCCAGUCUGGAGUCAGAUGUCCGAGUGGGAGUGAAGGCCACAUGCUCACAUAUUCUGAGUCCACGAUCCAUCUGUGAUCCUUGUGACGAUGCUCCAGGCUGUCCAGGUAACCAGAAGAUCUUCGGUCUCAAGAUGCUCGACUUAAUCACACCUGCCAAGCACACUCUACAGACAGGUCGGAGAUGAAACACAGCAGAAGCCAGUUCUCCUGGAGUGGGCAGACCUGACCCAGGGGUGAGGUUCCUGGUCACUGGAGGCCAGCUGUCCUCAACCCUGCCUCCCCUGUGUGGAACAUUCCUGCCUACUCGAGUCCUCGAGAAAUCACAGGAGACGUGCUGUCUGAAGCUGCCCAGUCCUGUAUUUCAGCAGAGGGACUGAGGGGUCUUUUCUCACAGCUGACGGAGGUUAUGACUUCAUUCUUACACAUCUUAGUGGACCUAUUACAUGUUGCUGGCGUUUCUGACUUCAGAACUUUGCAGGUGGCACUCAGCCGGCUCUGCUCCAUUUACCCUUUCCCCAGGCGCAAGCGGCCAGCCCAUCCCUCUCCUGGCCACUUGCUCGUCCUCCUCCACAGGGGCUGAGCUGACGGGGAAGGACCCCAGGUGGCUCACCAACCUUGAUCUCUGCUCCUGUGUGCUGGCCCCGAGGACUCCUUGCAGGCUCUUCUUCCACCUGUGUCCUGAAGCCCGGACCUGUGCCUGUGGAGGAGGCUGGGGAGCAGCUCCUCUCUGGUCCUGCCCCUUGGUUCCCUUGAAAUAGGACCUGCUUAAGUUUAAUUGAACUACCUGGGUGCUUACACAAAACUGCUGUAUAAAAUGUUCUUGCAGGAACUUCCCUGGUGGUCCAGUGGCUAAGACUCUGCACACCCAACGCAGGGGGUCCCCGGUUCAAUCCCGGGUCAGGGGACAAGAUCCCGCAUUCCACAAUUAAGACCUAGCACAGCCAAAUAAAUAAAUAAAUAUCUAAAAAAUGUCCUUGCAGUCAGACUGCCUGUGCCCUUGCACAUUUGCUAAAAUCUGUUUGUUUUAUUCAUUUUUAAGUGCUUUACUUGUAUCACUAUGAUUUAAAAAUCCUCCUCUCAGUCUUGCCAGAUAGCUGCCAUCAUUACCUGUUUUACAGGGAAGAAAUAAGAAUCCUGGAGAGUAAGCCACCAGAGCCCAGAAUAACUCAGGGGUUUGAAUCCAGCUGGUCAAGGUUCAAAACCUCAUAGCCACUACUUUGUUCUUCCCACGAUGAGGUGAGGGCAGGGGUCCUAUGGUUCCAGGUCUUCAUUCCAGUCUUUAAAACCCGCUUGAAGUUGAUUUUUGUCCAGUGCGAGAAAGUGUUCCCGUUUCAUUCCUUUGCCUAUGGGGUCAACUGUCAGAUGUAGAAGCGGAGACCUAAGUAGGCAGUUAGAUUGACAAUUCAGAAAUUCAGCGCUCAAGUCUGGGAUGGCGGCCAGCAGAGGGCAGUGAUGAGCUUUCUGGGCAGAAAUGUCCCCAGUGAGUCUAAAACCUGAAGAGGAGGACAGAGACUGCACAGUGAGGAUGGAGUUCAAAGGGCAAGUUUUGAAGAAAUCCUGAGCUGAACUAAGACACUGGUUUGAAGCUAAAACUCUCCACCAGAUGAAACAAAGGGAAUGGAGAUGAGGUUCAGGGGGAGGGAUGUAGAAGCAGUUCCCCACGGACUGAGGUCACCCGCUCGGUCCCUGGACCACACCCUCCUCUCUUCUCCUGGAAAGGUCUGUUCGGGGGUCUUGGAGCCCCUCCCCUCAUUACUCUUUGGCUGCAUAACUGCCCUUUGUGCAUGCCCUCUUGGGGUUCCCUCCACUCACCCCCACUGUUGUGAACAGGCAUGUGGAAAACAACCCACUUGUCUCUAAUUCGAGGGUGCAUUCUCAUUCUUUUUGGGGGUGUCUUGCUUAAUACACAGGACUGUUAAUUACCUGCAGCAUGAAACACCUAGGGAUGAUUUAAUAAAAGACAUGCAGGACUAAUGUUAAUUUCUAUAAGACAUUUUGAGAGAAUUAAAGAGACCUAAACAAAUGGGAAAAUACACCAUGUUCAUAAUUUGAAAGAUGAAAUAUUGAGACGUCAGUUCCUCAGAACUGAUCUAUAGACUCAGCGCUGUCCUGAUCAAAAUCUUGGCAGAGGCUCACGUGCAUGCACAGGCAUGUGUGGGUGUGUAAAAGCGUUUGCAAGGAUGGAGUGGAGUGACUGGAAUUUUUAUAUACUUCUUGUCAGAAAACACAGAGUUCACUAAAUUUCAGCAUUUGCAUAAUUCAGAUUUCAGCAUUUCCAUUCCUAAGAAUAUAAACAACAGAAAGGCACACACAUUCAUCAAAAGUAUACAUAUAUUUAUAGGAAUGAUCACAGCAGUGCAGUAGCUAUGCAGUAGCCAAAAUCAAGAAACCACGUAAAUAUCCAUCAACAGUAGAACGUGUGAAGUUGGUUAUAUUUACCCAAUGGAAUAAUAUCCAUCACUGAGGAUGAAUGGGCCAUGCAACCAUAUAGAUGAAUCUCAUGUAUGUUAUGUUGGGUGAUAUUACGCUGAAGCCAGGCACAAAUGGGUAUAUCUUUUGUAAUUCUAUACAAAAGAUAAUAAUUUAAUGCCAAAUAGGGGUAAAAAACCUAAUGCACAGUGUUAGGAGAGUGGGGAAUAUUGAAGAGGAUGGUUGUUUCUGAUGUGGUAGAAAUAUUCUAUCUCUUGAUCUGGGUGCUGAUGAUGAGGAUGUACUCCCUUAAGAUUCAUUAUCUUACACUUA